AAGACUGUUAAGUCACUUGAACUCUGGAAGCUCUGAUCAUGAACAAUAGUAAUAUUUCUAUCAUCAAGAUAUCUGGGCAUAGGCUAACUUCACUUCUGAAUCAGUGAUGUCAUGAGACCCGCCUGCAGGACAUGUAUGCAGAAGACAACGUGUCUAUCUAAUUCAUAUAACUCUAAGUUCAGAAAAGCCACAUUUGGACUUGAUAUAGAUGAUGGAAUCUUGGACUUUGUGCCUCAUGCCAUGAUUUGGUGAGAUUUUCGGGGUUCUGGGAUGCUGGUACGGAGGAAAAACAAUAGAGAGAAACCCACAAAUGCUAGAGAAAGCUGCAUUUCUGCCUGGAGAGAAUGCAGCCAUCAACUGGGGCUUAUGACUCCAGUUCCUUAGAAAAUUCAAGAGAAGAAUGGAGGCAAUUAUGAUGGAUGGAGUGCAUAACACCUGACAGCAGCAAGACCUUUUGAGGAACCGAACGUUGACUACAGUAUAUCAUGCAAGUAUCUAUGUAUACACAAAAGAAUUCCUUUUCUUAAAAAAAAAAGAAAUACAAAACAUGUUCAGGAUAAAUACAAGAUAUAAAAUGCGAAAGAAAACACAAAACAAAACAAAAAAAUAGAACUCUCUCAGAGAACUGUAAACGGAAGGGACAAAAGAGUACCUCUGCGGCAUUUUAAUAAAGCAGAACUACCGACGUUAAAUAUACUUCUUGAAAUGGCUGAACUAAACCCUGGUGGCUCAGUGCUUAAGGUAACGGCCAAUUGCAAUACACAGGCAGCUGCACUGAUAAGUCGGUGGUUGAAGUCGUGCAUCCUGACUCUAAGUACCAGAACGUUUGGCAGUAGCACCCACAACAGGAAACGCCAACUCUUUUGACAGCAAAGGGUUAAGUCAACUGAUUUUUUGUCAAGAGCCAGAGAAAUGCUUGAUAUUCUUAGUUGUGUUUCUGUAAUAGUUAAUAAAUUACAUGACAAAAACCUGACUAUAUAAAUC
rnacentral:lncRNA from 10 species